CCUACGGGAGGCUGCAGUCGAGAAUCUUCGGCAAUGGGCGAAAGCCUGACCGAGCGACGCCGCGUGUGCGAUGAAGGCCUUCGGGUUGUAAAGCACUGUCGUGGGGGAGAAAAGGAAACUUGAUCGACCCCAGGAGGAAGCUCGGGCUAAGUUCGUGCCAGCAGCCGCGGUAAGACGAACCGAGCGAACGUUAUUCGGAAUCACUGGGCUUAAAGGGCGCGUAGGCGGAUCGUCAAGUCAGGGGUGAAAGCCCGCGGCUCAACCGCGGAAGUGCCUUUGAUACUGGCGGUCUUGAGGGAGGUAGGGGCGUGCGGAACUUCCGGUGGAGCGGUGAAAUGCGUAGAUAUCGGAAGGAACACCGGUGGCGAAAGCGGCGCGCUGGACCUCUUCUGACGCUGAGGCGCGAAAGCCAGGGGAGCGAACGGGAUUAGAUACCCCUG
rnacentral:rRNA from 1 species